CGCGUAGGUGGCAAGGUCAGUCGGAUGUGAAAGCCCCGGGCUUAACCUGGGAACUGCAUUCGAUACUGCCUUGCUAGAGUAUGGUAGAGGGAAGUGGAAUUCCGGGUGUAGCGGUGAAAUGCGUAGAUAUCCGGAGGAACACCAGUGGCGAAGGCGACUUCCUGGACCAAUACUGACACUGAGGUGCGAAAGCGUGGGGAGCAAACAG
rnacentral:rRNA from 1 species